GAUGAACGCUGGCGGCGUGCUUAAUACAUGCAAGUCGAGCGAACGGACGAGAAGCUUGCUUCUCUGAUGUUAGCGGCGGACGGGUGAGUAACACGUGGAUAACCUACCUAUAAGACGGGGAUAACUUCGGGAAACCGGAGCUAAUACCGGAUAAUAUUCUGAUCCGCAUGGUUCAAAAGUGAAAGACGGUCUUUCUGUCACUUCUAGAUGGAUCCGCGCUGCAUUAGCUAGUUGGUAAGGUAACGGCUUAUCACGGCAACCAUGCGUAGCCGACCUGAGUGGGGGAUAGCCGACACGGGAACUGAGACACGGUCCAGAGUCCUAAGGGAGGGAGCAGUAGGCAAUCUUCCGCAGUAGGGGGAAGCCUGACGGAGUAAGGGGGCGUGAGAGGUGAAGGCGUUCCGAUCGGAAAACUCUGUUAUUAGGGAAGAACAUAUGUGUAAGGAACUGUGCACAGCGUGACGGUAACGAAUCAGAAAGCAACGGCUAACUACGUG
rnacentral:rRNA from 1 species